GGGGAGAUACUCAAGCGGCCAACGAGGACAGACUGUAAAUCUGUUGGUGUAUACCUUCGCAGGUUCGAAUCCUGCUCUCCCCACCA
rnacentral:tRNA from 1 species